rnacentral:miRNA from 1 species
UCUCUUGAGAGCCAUAUGGAAGGA